CUCUCUCUCUCUCACGCACUCACCUUUCUCUCUCUAACCCAUCUUUUCUUUCUCUUUCUUUUCCCAUCUCUGCUUUUUCAGUUUCCUUGUUUUCUCAUUCCAUUUCCAUCCCAUCUCACCCUCUCUCUCUCUCUCUAUAACUUUCUCUCUAGACUACUUCCACUUCACAAGCCACCGGGAAACCAAUCCGCCGCUCAUCCUCCGGCAAUAAUCGACCGCAAUACACGCCGGAAAUGCUACGUAAGCUGGAUUCCCCAGCUAUUCCGCGCCAAUUUCUCCGGCCGUUGUGAGUUAAUCGAACCCAGCAAAAAAGAUAGAGAGAGAAAUUGGAGAAAUUGUUCAAUUUCCAGCUGAAAAA
rnacentral:lncRNA from 1 species